GGUCGUGUCUUUAAGGCGGUUCGCAAUUGCGAUGAAGGCCCCAGUUUGAUUCCUCCGCCACUUUUGUCCACCUGAACUCGUCAUUGCUUGGUUGCCACGGCGUGAAGGAACAAGUCUCGAGCAGUUGAGCUGAAAUUCGAUGUUUACUGAUUUGGUUUCGCUCAUGGUUUUCCUUUGAUCGGUGAAUUUAUUCUUCUAUGUUGGGUAUUUUUGCAAGUGGACGUGUGAAGGAGCGCUGAAGGAUGUAACGCCAACCUGAGUUUCAUGGAGGGAUAAUGCCAGAGUUGCGAAGUGGUGCUCGGAGAGGUCUGAAAUCAAACAAGGUUGACAACGUCAAGGCAGCAGACCCCGUCGGGAGUCCGGCAGUGCCAACUCCACGAGGGAGGCUUAGAAGGUUUGGAGGUGCUGCAGCUGGUAGAGUUAACAAGGUAGCUGCCAAGGGAAGAGGCAGGACGGCUUCAAAACAUAGGGGAAAGAGGUUCAAGGUUAUCGAUUUGCAGACUGAUCUGCCUUGCAAGAACCUCCUGAAGCUGUUGCUGGUGAGGCAGUUAUCGUCAGAGCCCAGGAGGACCUUUGUUUGAGCAAGGCAGCUGACCGGGGUCCCAGCUUAAGAAUGGAUGGCGAUAGUGGGGACAAAUUUGCAGUGGCUGAGGAUGACGCCACGGCAACCCCAGUGCCUGAGAGGGUUCAAGUAGGUAAUUCCCCAGAAUAUUUAACUGAUAGAAAGUUAGGCAAAGGUGGUUUUGGCCAGGUCUAUGUUGGAAAAAGAGUAUCUGGUGGAUCUUCUCGUAUGGGUCCUGAUGCAUAUGAGGUUGCACUGAAAUUUGAGCAUCGAAGUAGCAAGGGAUGCAACUACGCCCCCCCAUAUGAGUGGCAGGUUUAUCAAACUCUCAACGGUUGUUAUGGCAUUCCAUCAGUCCACUACAAGGGUCGCCAGGGAGACUACUACAUUCUCGUAAUGGAUAUGCUUGGUUCUAGCCUCUGGGAUGUUUGGAAUUCUGUAGGACAGGCGAUGUCUCCUCAUAUGGUUGCUUGUAUUGCUGUUGAGGCCAUAUCAAUUCUUGAGAAACUUCACUCAAAAGGCUUUGUGCAUGGCGAUGUGAAACCAGAGAACUUUUUGCUUGGUCAACCUGGGUCACCUGAUGAAAAGAAGCUUUUCCUGAUUGAUCUCGGUUUAGCAUCCAGGUGGAAAGAAGUAGCAUCUGGUAAACAUGUUCAAUAUGAUCAGAGGCCAGAUAUCUUUAGGGGAACAAUUAGAUAUGCUAGUGUCCAUGCCCAUUUAGGUCGUAAUGGUAGUAGGAGGGAUGAUCUGGAGUCACUGGCAUACACCCUUAUUUUUUUGAUAAGAGGAAGAUUGCCUUGGCAAGGCUACCAGGGAGAUAACAAGAGUUUUCUUGUCUGUAAGAAGAAAAUGGCUACUUCUCCGGAGAUACUGUGUUGCUUCUGUCCAGCUCCUUUCAAACAUUUUCUUGAGAUGGUCACCAAUAUGAAAUUUGAUGAAGAGCCAAAUUACCCAAAGCUUAUUUCUCUUUUUGAUGGUUUGAUAGAAGGGCCUGCUUCAAGGCCUAUCAGAAUUGAUGGAGCUCUAAAGGUUGGACAGAAACGUGGAAGAACACCUGCAAAUCUUGAGGGCGAUGAACAACCUAAGAAGAAAGUUAGAUUGGGGAGCCCAGCAACUCAAUGGAUUUCAGUUUAUAAUGCUAGGCGGCCAAUGAAGCAGAGAUAUCAUUAUAAUGUAGCUGAUGCAAGGCUGCACCAGCAUAUAGAAAAAGGUAAUCAAGAUGGCUUGUAUAUCAGUUCUGUGGCUUCUUCAGCAAAUUUCUGGGCUCUCAUCAUGGAUGCUGGGACUGGGUUUUGUUCUCAAGUUUAUGAGCUCUCACAAGUGUUUCUGAACAAGGAGUGGAUUACGGAACAGUGGGAGAAGAAUUAUCACAUAACAGCAAUAGCUGGAGCAACCAAUGGAAGUUCCUUGGUUGUAAUGUCCAAAGGAACUCCUUACACACAGCAGUCAUACAAAGUCAGUGAAUCAUUUCCUUAUAAGUGGAUUAAUAAAAAAUGGAAAGAAGGCUUUCAUGUAACAUCCAUGGCUACUGCUGGGAAUCGUUGGGGAGUGGUCAUGUCCAGGAAUUCGGGCUAUGCUACUCAGGUUGUGGAGUUGGACUUUCUGUAUCCUAGUGAAGGGAUCCAUCAUCGAUGGGAGACUGGUUACAGAAUAACAUCAACUGCAGCUACCCCCGACCAAGCUGCUUUUAUCUUGAGCAUACCGAAGAGGAAACCAAUGGAUGAGACGCAAGAAACUCUUCGGACAUCCGCCUUCCCCAGCAACCAUGUAAAGGAAAAAUGGGUGAAGAACCUAUAUAUUUCCUCAAUGUGCUAUGGCCGAACUGUGUGCUGACAGCUAUGUCAAAGCUCCAAGGUGAAGGCACUCGAGUUUCCAGUGGAAGGCUGAAGACCUGCGAGAUGGGAGUCGGAACAAACUUCCUCAUAUAGCAUCGGAUUGCAAAUGGCUGGCAUGGCCUCUUGCAAUAUCCUACUCUAGUCUAGUUGUAAAGGAUCAUUUGUUUGCGAUGCUGUAUCAGAUGUGAACCUUGCCCACAAGCUAGUCACGUACUAUUUGUUGUAUGUGCUUUCUCCAAUAACCAUUGGCACAUUCAGCUCGUA